UCAGGCAUAACACAUGCAAGUCGUACGAGAGUUUUUAACUCAAGUGGCGGACGGGUGAGUAACACGUAAGAAUUUGCCUUUAGGAGGGGGAUAACAACUGGAAACGGUUGCUAAUACCCCAUAUGCUUUCGAGUGAAAUGGAUUUUCCGCCUAAAGAGAAGCUUGCGGCUGAUUAGCUUGUUGGUGAGGUAAUGGCUUACCAAGGCGACGAUCAGUAUCUGGUUUGAGAGGACGAUCAGACACACUGGAACUGAGACACGGUCCAGACUCCUACGGGAGGCAGCAGUGGGGAAUUUUCCUCAAGGGGCGAAAGCCUGACGGAGCAA
rnacentral:rRNA from 1 species